GUAAGAUAGAAGAGGCAGAGUGCUCUGUGCUGAUGUAACACUUCCUGCUGAAUCUCCCAGCUCAGCCACAGUCACAUUAAUGCAAAUUCUUAUGGAAAAAUGUGAAGGGGUAAAGAAGAGAGGAAGGUGAAGUGAUACUUACUUUGACUUAGAGAUGACUGUGGAAUGAAAGAUCAAAGAACAG
rnacentral:lncRNA from 1 species